rnacentral:rRNA from 1 species
UCUGUCCGAGCGUCUGCCAACCAACAAAGUCCUCGCUCGAUGCGCGAGGAGAUUGGGGAACUGCGGCGUGCCGUUGGGUGGAAGUGCCGCACUCCCUGAAGUGUCGAAGACCGRCGUGGUCGCCCGCCGCACGAGUCGGUCGGUGACGACGGUGCACAGUGUCGUCCCGGCCGUUGCCCGUGCGAGCGGAGGGCCAGCCGAUCGAGAUCGGGUGUCGCCAAUCUGGACCUCGGAUCAGGCCAGGCUACCCGCUGAAUUUAAGCAUAUCAAUAAGCGGAGGAAAAGAAACUAACAAGGAUUCCCUUAGUAACGGCGAGCGAAGCGGGAAGAGCUCAAAUUUGAAAUCUCCGGUGCCUGCACCGGCGAAUUGUAGUCUGUAGGGCCAGUUUCGCCCGACGCGGUGUCCCCAAAGUCGUCCUGGAAAGGCGGGCCGGAGAGGGUGAGAGCCCCGUGUGCGGGGGCGCCGCGGAAGGUAAGAUCUGUGCCCGAAGAGUCGGGUUGUUUGGGAUUGCAGCCCAAAAUGGGUGGUAAACUCCAUCUAAAGCUAAAUACCGGCACGAGACCGAUAGCGAACA